rnacentral:rRNA from 1 species
GCAUAUCAAUGAGCGAGGAAAACGUAAUCUUAGCAGCGAUUGCCCCCAGUAACGGCGAAGUGAAGCGGCAACAGCUCAAAUUUGAAAUCUGGCCCUCGGGUACCGAGUUGUUAAUUUGUAGAAGGAUGCUUUUGGCGAGGGUGCCUUCCGAGUUCCCUGGAAACGGGACGCCACAGAGGGUGAGAGCCCCGUAUGGUCGGACACCGAGCCUCUGUAAAGCUCCUUCGACGAGUCGAGUAGUUUGGGAAUGCUGCUCAAAAUGGGAGGUAUAUGUCUUCUAAAGCUAAAUAUUGGCCAGAGACCGAUAGCGCACAAGUAGAGUGAUCGAAAGAUGAAAAGCACUUUGAAAAGAGGGUUAAAAAGUACGUGAAAUUGUUGAAAGGGAAGCGCCUAUGACCAGACUUGGGCCCGGUGAAUCAUCCAGCGUUCUCGCUGGUGCACUUUGCCGGGCACAGGCCAGCAUCAGUUUGGCGCGGGGGAAAAAGGCUUCGGGAAUGUGGCUCCCUCGGGAGUGUUAUAGCCCGCUGCGUAAUACCCUGCGCCGGACUGAGGUACGCGCAUUGCAAGGAUGCUGGCGUAAUGGUCAUCAGCGACCCGUCUUGAAACACGGACCAAGGAGUCGUCUUCGUAUGCGAGUGUUCGGGUGUCAAACCCCUACGCGUAAUGAAAGUGAACGCAGGUGAGAGCUUCGGCGCAUCACCGACCGAUCCUGAUGUUCUCGGAUGGAUUUGAGUAAGAGCAUACGGGGCCGGACCCGAAAGAAGGUGAACUAUGCCUGUAUAGGGUGAAGCCAGAGGAAACUCUGGUGGAGGCUCGCAGCGGUUCUGACGUGCGAAUCGAUCGUCAAAUAUGGGCAUGGGGGGCGAAAGACUAAUCGAACCUUCUAGUAGCUGGUUUCGCGA